rnacentral:tRNA from 1 species
GCGCCCGUAGCUCAGGGGAUAGAGCGCUGGCCUGCGGAGCCAGAGGUCGGAGGUUCAAGUCCUCCCGGGCGUACCA